rnacentral:tmRNA from 1 species
GGGGAUGCUUUGGUUUCGACAGGAAUAAUAGAGCAUAAAUGGCAAGUCGAGUUGUUUACGUUACAAACUAAAUUAAAUAUAACUGGAAACAGUAUUAAAACAGCAUUUGCUAACUUAUUUAAUAAAAAUACUGAGUUAGCUUUCGCCUAGUAUAGGUAAAUGCACUGUCUUCUCUUAAUUUCCUGUGUUAAGUUAAGAUGGUUUAUUUUAGCAGGAUAUAGUUAUAGUUUGUCUAGACUAUGAUAGAAUCUUUUAGACUAGGACUGUUUUAUUAGUUGAUGGUUACUAGAAAAUAGUCUGAAAAUUCUUAAUCAUCUAAACUUGUAGAAGUUUAUGUAGCUUUAUUUUUGGACAGGAGUUCGAAUCUCCUCAUCUCCACCA